rnacentral:rRNA from 1 species
UUGACACUGAACACUGGUCCUUGAUGUGUAGGAUAGGUGGGAGGCUUUGAAGCGUGGACGCCAGUCUGCGUGGAGCCAACCUUGAAAUACCACCCUUUAAUGGCUGGUGUUCUAACGUAGACCCGUAAUCCGGGUUGCGGACAGUGUCUGGUGGGUAGUUUGACUGGGGCGGUCUCCUCCCAAAGAGUAACGGAGGAGCACGAAGGCAGGCGUCAACUUCAAGAACUCUGCACCAGUAAUCUUGUAUACCCCUUACCAGUGGCCGCUGCCAGUGGCGUUUUUACGUGUCUUUCCGGGUUGGACUCAAGACGAUAGUUACCGGAUAAGGCGCA